CAAACAGGAUUAGAUACCCUGGUAGUCCACGCAGUAAACGAUGAUAACUCGUUGUCGGCGAUACACAGUCGGUGACUAAGCGAAAGCGAUAAGUUAUCCACCUGGGGAGUACGUUCGCAAGAAUGAAACUCAAAGGAAUUGACGGGGGCCCGCACAAGCGGAGGAACAUGUGGUUUAAUUCGAUGAUACGCGAGGAACCUUACCCGGGCUUGAAAGUUAGCGACGAUUCUUGAAAGAGGAUUUCCCUUCGGGGCGCGAAACUAGGUGCUGCAUGGUUGUCGUCAGCUCGUGCCGUGAGGUGUCGGGUUAAGUCCCAUAACGAGCGCAACCCCUACCGUUAGUUGCCAUCAGGUGAAGCUGGGCACUCUGGCGGGACUGCCGGUGUAAGCCGAGAGGAAGGUGGGGAUGACGUCAAAUCAGCACGGCCCUUACGUCCGGGGCUACACACGUGUUACAAUGGUAGGUACAGAGGGCAGCUACCCAGCGAUGGGAUGCGAAUCUCGAAAGCCUAUCUCAGUUCGGAUUGGAGGCUGAAACCCGCCUCCAUGAAGUUGGAUUCGCUAGUAAUCGCGCAUCAGCCAUGGCGCGGUGAAUACGUUCCCGGGCCUUGUACACACCGCCCGUCAAGCCAUGGGAGCCGGGGGUGCCUGAAGUUCGUGACCGCAAGGAGCGACCUAGGGCAAAACUGGUGACUGGGGCUAAGUCGUAACAAGGUAGCCGUACCGGAAGGUGCGGCUG
rnacentral:rRNA from 1 species